rnacentral:rRNA from 1 species
UACGUAGGUGGCAAGCGUUAUCCGGAAUUAUUGGGCGUAAAGCGCGCACAGGCGGUUUCUUAAGUCUGAUGUGAAAGCCCACGGCUCAACCGUGGAGGGUCAUUGGAAACUGGGGAACUUGAGUGCAGAAGAGAAAAGCGGAAUUCCACGUGUAGCGGUGAAAUGCGUAGAGAUGUGGAGGAACACCAGUGGCGAAGGCGGCUUUUUGGUCUGUAACUGACGCUGAGGCGCGAAAGCGUGGGGAGCAAACAGG